rfam:Triticum aestivum genome assembly, contig: Triticum_aestivum_CS42_TGACv1_scaffold_502646_6BL
AUUAUACUCUCUCCGUCCCGAAAUACUCGUCUUAGAGAUGGAUAAAAUUGGAUGUAUCUAUAACUAAAAUACGUUUAGAUACAUCCAUUUCUCCGACAAGUAUUUCCGAAUGGAGGGAGUACUAG